rnacentral:misc_RNA from 1 species
GAUGAAGAACGCAGCGAAAUGCGAUACUUGGUGUGAAUUGCAGAAUCCCGUGAACCAUCGAGUCUUUGAACGCAAGUUGCGCCCGAAGCCAUUAGGCCGAGGGCACGCCUGCCUGGGCGUCACACGUCGUUGCCCCCCCAUCUACUCCUUCGGGAUUGCGGGGGGCGGAUGAUGGCCUCCCGUGCGCCUCGUCGCGCGGUUGGCAUAAAUGCCAAGUCCUCGGCGACGCACGCCACGACAAUCGGUGGUUGCGAAACCUCGGUUGCCCGUCGUGUGCGGUCGUCGCGCAUCGAGGGCUCGAAAAAAUUGCCGGGCUCCGGCUCGGCUUUCAACGCGACCCCAGGUCAGGCGGGGUUACCCGCUGAAUUUAAGCAUAUCAAUAAGCGGGGA